rnacentral:rRNA from 1 species
UGGGGAAUUUUCCGCAAUGGGCGAAAGCCUGACGGAGCAAGACCGCGUGGGGGAAGAAGGCUCUUGGGUUGUAAACUCCUUUUCUCUGGGAAGAACAAAAUGACGGUACCAGAGGAAUCAGCAUCGGCUAACUCCGUGCCAGCAGCCGCGGUAAGACGGAGGAUGCAAGCGUUAUCCGGAAUGAUUGGGCGUAAAGCGUCCGCAGGUGGCAGUUCAAGUCUGCUGUCAAAGACCGGGGCUCAACCUCGGAAAGGCAGUGGAAACUUAACAGCUAGAGUAUGGUAGGGGCAAAGGGAAUUCCUGGUGUAGCGGUGAAAUGCGUAGAGAUCAGGAAGAACAUCGGUGGCGAAGGCGCUUUGCUGGACCAUAACUGACACUCAGGGACGAAAGCUAGGGGAGCGAAUGGGAUUAGAUACCCCAGUAGUC